GAAGGAUCUCGGGCUCUUUGAAGCACACACCGAGAAGUACACCUACCGAUACACGGGUAUGAGAGGCAGGAGGCUGCUGUCAUGGUCGGCGUCCGCCGAGAAAAAUGCGCAGAGAGGAUUGCAGCCGAGCCGAGCCACGUCGGCAUCGCCUCCCUCCUCUACCCCGCCACCCUGAAGCUUCAAAUGGCCUUUGUGCCGGCAUCGACCGUCCGCAGCCGCAUCCACAACUGCACUUUACACGGCCGCCUACAACCUCUGGCGCACCGUCAGCUCACCGCCGCCAGAGCGACAGCUCACAGCUGAGACCAGCGGGACGGGGAAAUGCUGUAGGCCGUGCAGCCGCUGAACUGCGCCAUACAGGCAUGAAACCGAUGCUCUCCCGUCGACCGCCUGCACCGUUCACCAACUCCUCCAGAGCGAUGGCACGCUCCUCAGAAUUUGCUCCAGGAGCUGCUGACGCUGCCGCCACCGUGGCUACGCUCAACUGUGGAGCGGCAUUGGAUGAGCAGCCGCCAGUAGCAGCUGAGCGUGCUUCGUCAACGUCAUCGCCGCUGUCAUUGCCGUACGCACAGCCUGCAACUGCUGCAGGCGUGACGCCGUUGUUCAACCCACACCCUCCUCCCUCAUCACCAUCGCCAGCAGAGGAGGGUUUGCCUGGUAGAUAUCGCACGACCGCCAUGCAGUUCAUCAAGGCUAUAGAGAGGCUGAAUCGCAUGACUUCCACGACCUGCAGCGCGGAUGCCACCUCAUUCUUCGCUCUGACCGAAGAGAGGACCGCGAGCGGCAAAGUCGGCGUUCGAAAGAUGGCGCGUGUACCUCUGCUGCCCCUCACACUCUGCACGGACGGGGCGACCGUAAUACUUGUGGAUCCCAAUGGCACAGAACGACACGGCAACUACUUGAAAGCUGUUGACGGGUUCCACCAGUACUCAGCAGCGUUCACGAGCGCCGCCUCGAGUCACGGCAGCGCCGCACCCUCUGUAUCACCACACCCGCCCUCGAACGUGCUGUGGUGGGCCUUGAGUGAUCUGCAGCAGACGCCUUGUGCAGUACCACUCACCACGGCACGCGCGUCGCUCUCCGUGGAGCGCCUUAUCAGCGGCAACGAUAGCGUGAACAAAGAUCAGAGCUUCACUCAGCCGAGGCCCGCGCACGCUCCGGGGCGCGAGACUUCACCAACCAUGGGACCUGCGAAGACGACGGCGACGUUCGCCGCCAUUCAACCGUGCCGGCUCACCCUUCGCUACGGAGAGCCGCUCGCGCUGGUCUUCGCCAGCGCCGGUGCACGAGUUGGGGCUGAAGCGGCCGCGGACGUGCCGCCAUGGUCCACUGCAAAUGAAUCAACUGGUCAGCGAGAAGGCUCCCCCCACAUCGGCUACAACCUCCUGCGCGACGUUUACCACGGCUAUCUUCCAUCGUUUCUCGAGUUCCUCUACCCAAACGGAGGCAUCAUGCUGCGUGGGUGUUGGUGUGCUGUAUCAACCAGUGCCGCGGAUGAACCGAUGGCACCGUCCGUGAAGCCGUUUUCCCAGCAACAGCAGCAGGUGUCACGAGCAACAGUAUCGUUAAGGGAUGGUGGCGGUGGAGCUGCGCCGCGUUCCUCGUCUCGUUCUCCCACGUCACGAGGCGAACAGGGAUUGCUUGUCACAACGGUGCCGAUGCCACUCCUCGGCUGGUCACCACAGUCCACCGGCCCGGUGCCCAUCGCUCGAAGGGACAACGACGCCGGCGCAGUCGAUGAAGAAACGUUCAUGCCGUCUUUUCGACCAACCGCCGUGCCUCCACCACGGCGCUCGCCAGCUACGAACACUGUGGUCGAUCUUGGUGCGGCCACAUGCAAGCGGACAACGUUGCCAGACGCUGUCUUGCAGCUUCCGCCUGCUGUCCUGCGCUUCCUGGCACAGGACGGCGGCAGGACAAGCGUGGCCUCGGCAAUCAUCCCGGGCGGCCCUCGCGCUUACCUGUCGUCGUCGCCGCCGCCUCCUUCUCAGCCUACGACAACGGCGGCAGCACCGUCCCUGCGGCUUACCCUGCGCCGCGUCGAAAGCCAUAGCGAACCGGAUGUGUGCGCCACUGACUUUGGCGCCGAUGAGUCCGCCUCUGCCGCCUACGACUUCGACUCUUACCGUGUGCACGCCGGUGGGGACUGUCGUGGUAUCCAUGACAGCAACCUUCAAGGGUCGCAGCUGCAACAGCAGUGGCAAGCUCGCAACGGUUUUGGUCUCGUCUACGUGAGUGCCUUGCUUCACACGCCAUCUCAGCCACCACCACCGAUGGGCAUGGCUGGAAAGCCGUCAGUCGCGUGCGAGUCCGUCAUGGUGCUCACACCAGCUGGACAUGUCGAGCUGGUGGUGCCUGCGACAUCCCACGCUGCUGCUCGACCUAUCACGAUCACCGAUGUACAGUAUAGUCUCUUGCGCAGCGCCGUCGGCUGCUCCUUGCACCUUCGUGACGAGGAAGUCGCCUUCACCUACGCCCCAGGUACCCCCGAUCUCCACGGAGCGACGGUGGUGGACGCGGCACACGUGGUGCUGCGGCUACGACGACGCGCCUCACGCGCACAUCUCGAGGCCGCGAGGCAGCAGGUGCAAGGGGUGGGAAAAAGGUGAGGCUCUGGAGGAAAAAAUGGAGAGCAACUGAAGUGAGGCCAUGCCUGCCCCUGGCUCACGCCUCGCCCACAUCCACCACCUGCCCCUCCACCCACGUACGUGCGUACACACUUCAUGCGUCUCCUCCUCUACCGCCAUGCCGUACGACUAGCAAACACACACACACACACACACGGGCACUCAAACACGAAUAGGCACCCGAUGGAGCGCAUCUCCGCACCCUGCGUUGUAAUCAAGGCGAACGAAAGAAGAAAGCGCCACACGGCUGGGCCGCUGAUGACGGCCGUUUUCGUUGCG
rnacentral:misc_RNA from 1 species